UACGUAGGGUGCAAGCGUUAAUCGGAAUACUGGGCGUAAAGCGUGCGCAGGCGGUGAUGUAAGACCGAUGUGAAAUCCCCGGGCUUAACCUGGGAACUGCAGUCGAGACUGUCUAGCUAGAGUAUGGGAGAGGGAAGUGGAAUUUCAGGUGUAGCGGUGAAAUGCGUAGAUAUCUGAAGGAACAUCAGUGGCGAAAGCGACUUCCUGGACCAAUACUGACGCUCAUGUGCGAAAGCGUGGGGAGCAAACAGG
rnacentral:rRNA from 1 species